GGUUAUCUAAAUUAUUUCAGUCUUCUUUCUUUUCCCUCCUUCCAAACCCUAAAAUUAUUUGACUUCCCUCCCAUCCACAGUUACGCAAGCGACGGUUUUGCAAGCGAUGAACAAGAUUUGCUUCUUUCAACAGAUUAACAUCAGAUGAAGAAAUCAAAAGUUUUAAGUUGGCUUCUUGAAGUAUUAUUUGCAUUCAGGAGUAUCCCUAAAUCAUAUGGAGCAUUUGAAAUGAGUCGACAUAAUAUCCUUUACUACUAAUCUAUAUAUAUUUAAGUUUUUGAGAUUGGGUUUUAAUUCAAGAGCAUCUCGGUAUGUGUCAUUGAAUCUAUAUAUAUAUUUAAGUUUUUGAGAUUGGAAUUUUAGGGUUGUAGUUGGGAAUUCACAACAGAAUGCAUACUUUUGUUGAUUGUUUGGUUCCUUACAAUGAAUAUUUAUGACCUUCUAAUUAAAUGUAUUUGCUAUUUUCUUAUGUGAGAAUUUUUUUAUGUGGAGAUUUCUGAAUCUCUUGUAGGAUUUCAUUACUGAUUUCAUUACUGCAGAGGAAUUGUCUAGAGAUCACAGGGAUGCCUUCAUGAACACUUGUUUAUUUGGGCAGAGGAUAUGGUUGGAAGUAAGAAUGUUUACCAACAUUCUUGUAUUAUGUAGGAAGUCACACUUGUAGAGCUUGAUGGAGACAGAGAUUACCACAUGCCUGUUGAACUUGGAGGUAGUGGUGGAAUGUUGAGAAAAACUAGUUGCUGGAAAUGCGCUAAAGGAUUGAAGAUGGUCAUUAUAGAAAAAAAGCCGAGCUUGAAACUAUGCGAAAAGAGUUUGCCAGCCAGCGACACAACUUGGAAGCUAUGAUGCGGAAGGUUAUGAAACAAGUAGUUGGAGAUCGA